UGCGAGAUAGUGUAAUAGGCAACACAAUAGGCUCAUGACCUGUAAAUUUAGGUUCGAUUCCUAAUCUUGCUC